rnacentral:rRNA from 1 species
GAUGAACGCUGGCGGCGUGCCUAAUACAUGCAAGUCGAGCGAACAGACGAGGAGCUUGCUCCUCUGACGUUAGCGGCGGACGGGUGAGUAACACGUGGAUAACCUACCUAUAAGACUGGGAUAACUUCGGGAAACCGGAGCUAAUACCGGAUAAUAUAUUGAACCGCAUGGUUCAAUAGUGAAAGACGGUUUUGCUGUCACUUAUAGAUGGAUCCGCGCCGCAUUAGCUAGUUGGUAAGGUAACGGCUUACCAAGGCAACGAUGCGUAGCCGACCUGAGAGGGUGAUCCGCCACCAUGGAACUGGGACACGGGCCAGACUCCUACGGGAAGCAGCCGUAGGGAAUCUUCCGCAAUGGGCGAAAGCUUGACGGAGCAACGCCGCGUGAGUGAUGAAGGUCUUCGGAUCGUAAAACUCUGUUAUUAGGGAAGAACAAAUGUGUAAGUAACUAUGCACGUCUUGACGGUACCUAAUCAGAAAGCCACGGCUAACUACGUG